UCCUGAUCCGGUCACACACAUCAGUCUCUUUCUUCCCUGAUCCGGUCACAAACAUCAGACGUCAACACAGUUCAAGGGGUUGGGAUAUCUGCCAUCUGAAUCUAUCUCAAUUCAGGGGUUUGGCUUUCCGAUCCGUUCAUUCAUUUAAUCAUAGUAUAUACUAGUGUGCUUUUGGUGGGAUUCAGCAAAUUGACAGAUCAAGAUCGAUCAAUUUGCCUCGGCGAAUAUGAACGAUUUGGUUGCAGACAAGUCCACCACGACGAUGGAGGGAGCGGCGGUAGUUUCUCCUCCUCCUCCCCCUCCUCCUCCGCCACCAUCUCUUAGGCGGCCGAGGGUGAGGGAGGUGAGCUCUAGGUUCAUGUCUCCUCUCAUUUCAUCGCCACUUGCUAAGCAGCAGCGCUCAACCUCCGUGCAUAGGCAGCGGCACAUGGAGCCCUUGUUCUCUUCCGAUGAGAACAGGCCCACCGAGUCCAUUCAGAUUCAGAGCCUGGAAACUUUGCCCCCUUUGGGAUCUCGUUGUAAAGCUGCUCUGACCUCUGCUACUACUCAGAGAAAACAGCGUGCUGUAGCCAAGCUUUUCAAAGAAAACGCAGGAAAAAUUGUUACCAACGCUUUUACCACACCCUCCAGGCCUGACACUCCUACUUUGGAUAGGGAUAGGAUGAUUCCAUCGAGAUUCAGACGGUCUACCAACAUGAACAUCAGUGCCACAGCUGCGGCCAAGCUGUUGCAAUCAAGCGGCAUGUCGGCUCAACCUUCUGUUCCCGUAGAUGCUUCUUCGCUGACUGCCGAUGACAAUAAUCAGAAUCUACUUCGAAACUGCACGGCAACGGCACGGUCUCUUCCCGAUUUCCGCUCUUCCAUGCCUGAGGCAGACAUGUUGCCAACGGUUUCCACUAGAUUGCUGGCAGAAAAAAGUAGCACUAAGGGUAAUGCGACUGGCGGCAGCACCGAUUCUUUGAAAUUGUCUGCUUCCCCUUGCUCCCGUUCUCUGAAUUUGCCAUUAUCAGUUUGUGAAAAACAAGCCUGUGGUCUCCCCAAGCCACACACAAACUCUGUGAAGAUGGGGGGAUUCUCUCUGCCUCCAGUCCCGCCUUGCGCCAAGUUGGGGACCGAUACUAGGAAGGGAAAGAAAGUUUCCUCCCAUCAGGAAGAUGUUCACACACUCAGAUUGCUCCACAACCGUUAUCUGCAGUGGAGAUAUGCCAAUGCAAAAUCAGAGGCCUCCUUCCGAGCUCAGCAAAGAGAAAGCGAGAGAACCCUUCAUUCCCUUGGGGUCAAGAUAUCAGAGUUUCAUGAUUCUUUGAAGAGGAAACACAUAGAACUUGGGCUUUUGCAAAGAACAAAGACUCUAUCGACAAUCCUUGAAGCUCAAAUUCCAUAUUUGGCGGAGUGGUCUACUCUCGAAGAGGAUUAUUCAAUUUAUUUAUCAGAAGCAAUUCAAGCUCUGUUGAACGCCUCACUUCAACUUCCCAUUGUGAAUGUUAGGGCUGAUAUAGAAGAGGUAGGGGAGGCAUUGAACUCAGGGAUGAAGGUGAUGGAAAUUAUAGUUUUUCAUCUUCAAAGCUUCAUGCCAAAGAUUGGGAAGAAAGGGAAGGGGAUAAAUCCACACAACCAGAUUGAGCGGAAGAAACAGACAAUUUGAUUUCAGAACUUGCCAGAGUAAGUGGGGGAGAAAAAGCUCUUAUUGAAGAAUGUGGCGAUCUGUUGUCGAAGACAUGUACAUCGCAGGUGGAAGAGUUCAGUUUAAGGAGCCAGCUAGUACAAUUGCAUCAUUUCUGCCAUAUCUCCAAGAAUGAGUAAUUGUUCAUGACUGCAUUUUGUACGUGCUACCUACAUGAGUCAAAGUUCCACCCCAUGAGCUUGUUGGCGUCUGUAUAGCUCUUUUUUCCGGUUUUCUUGUUAUUGAGAGAAACAGAGAGAAGGGGGAAGGCAUGAAAGCUAUAAUUUGCUGUCUUCGUCUACACACUACGGCAGGCAGUUCAUCACCUUGACCUGCAAUUCUUUUGAGCUUUUAUAACUUUUUGUAAGACCUGAAAGUUAUAACUUCUACAGUUCUACACCACAAUUCUUUGAUGAGCAGUGUGAGCUCUAUGAUUUGUUUGUUCGAAAGAUGCAAGUUCUUGAAAAAGAACAACAAAGCCAGAAACAUAGCAAACCAGAGGUAACUUCCAAAUCAAGCAACAGGUUAAGCUGUUUGAGGCUGAAUUGAAGUGGGGAGGGGGAUUUGGAGGGGGGUAAAAAAUUAUUUCUGGAGAUGAAAUUUAAAUACAAUUUUAAAAUUCUAGUUCCGCACCUAUAAGUCAUGCUUAUAGCGGAUGAUUAGUUUAUUUGCAACUCCACAUUAGCAACUCCAUUAGUAGAAGACACGAUGCAUUAUUGGUUUAGCAUCGACAAUUACUUAUGCAUUUUGGGUUUCUAUGUAAAAUGGUUAA